rnacentral:rRNA from 1 species
CGGGUAAAACCUAAAACUCAAAAGACUUGACGGUGUUCCAUCUACCUAGAGGAGCCUGUUCUAUAAUCGAUAAUCCACGAUAUACCAAACCACUUUUUGAAUAAUCAGCCUAUAUACCGCCGUCACAGUUUACCUUUUAAAAGAUUAAAAGUGAACCUAAGAGUUAUACACUAACAAAUCAGGUCAAGGUGUAGCAAAUAAAGUGGAAGAAAUGGGCUACAUUAUUUAUAAUAAAUAAACAGAUUAUUAACUGAAAAAAAUAUAAAGAUGGAUUUAGUAGUAAUUUAAAUAAGAAAAUUUAAAUUAAUUAUAGCUCUGGAACAUGUACACACCGCCCGU